rnacentral:rRNA from 1 species
UGGGCCGACAGAGUUUGAUCCUGGCUCAGGACGAACGCUGGCGGCGUGCCUAAUACAUGCAAGUCGAGCGGUUUUCACCUUCGGGUGAGAGUAGCGGCGGACGGGUGAGUAACACGUAGGUAACCUGCCUGACAGACUGGGAUAACUACCGGAAACGGUAGCUAAGACCGGAUACGCCAAUUUGGGGGCAUCCUUGAAUUGGGAAAAGCGGAGCAAUCUGCUACUGAUAGAUGGACCUGCGGCGCAUUAGCUAGUUGGUGAGGUAGAGGCUCACCAAGGCGACGAUGCGUAGCCGACCUGAGAGGGUGAACGGCCACACUGGGACUGAGACACGGCCCAGACUCCUACGGGAGGCAGCAGUAGGGAAUCUUCGGCAAUGGACGAAAGUCUGACCGAGCAAC